AUGGCAGGGCGGCUCCUCGGGCAACUCCUCGUCAUGGGCGGCGCCGUCGUCGGCAGGGCCGUGGUGCAGGCCUACCGCCAGGCCAUCGUCAAUGCACAGAGAACCGGAGCUGCCCAGGAAGCUGUGAAUGGUAUUCGAAGGGCUAGCAAGGCUAUGACCGAGCAAGAAGCCCGGCAAAUAUUAGGUAUCAGUGAAAAGACGAGUUGGGAAGAGAUUGUCAAGAAGUAUGAUACGAUGUUUGAGAAGAAUGCCAAGAGCGGAAGCUUCUAUCUCCAGUCGAAAGUACACCGGGCCAAAGAAUGUCUGGAGUCCAUAUACCAUGAUAAGCCCGACAUAAUGAACUGA
rnacentral:rRNA from 1 species